UACCCGCAGCUCAAGUGGUGGUCAUUAUUAUUGGGCCUAAAGCGUCCGUAGCUGGCUUGUUAGAUGCCUGGGUAAAUCGAUGCGCUCAACGUAUCGAAUUCCGGGUAGACCGGCAAGCUCGAGACCGGGAGAGGCGUGAGCUACUCGAGGGGUAGGGGUAAAAUCCUGUAAUCCUUCGGGGAGGACCAGUGGCGAAGGCGUCACGCUAGAACGGCUCUGACAGUGAGGGACGAAGCCCUGGGGCGCAAACGGG
rnacentral:rRNA from 1 species